rnacentral:rRNA from 1 species
UAGGGAAUAUUGGUAGUGGGCGAAAGCCUGAACCAGCAACGCCGCGUGUGCGAUGAAGGCCUUCGGGUCGUAAAGCACUUUUUAUGGGGACGAGGAAGGACGGUACCCAUAGAAUAAGCCUCGGCUAACUACGUGCCAGCAGCCGCGGUAAAACGUAGGAGGCAAGCGUUAUUCGGAUUUACUGGGCGUAAAGCGUGUGCAGGCGGUUUGGAAAGUUGGAUGUGAAAGCUCCUGGCUUAACUGGGAGAGGUCGUUCAAUACUACCAGACUAGAGGAUGAGAGAGGAAAGUGGAAUUCCGAGUGUAGUGGUGAAAUGCGUAGAUAUUCGGAGGAACACCAGUGGCGAAAGCGGCUUUCUGGCUCAUUUCUGACGCUCAGACACGAAAGCUAGGGUAGCAAACGGG